rnacentral:tRNA from 1 species
GUGGCUGUGGCUCAGUGGUAGAGCGCUUGCCUAGCAUGCAUGAGCCACUGGGUUCAAUGCUCAGCACCACU